rnacentral:pre_miRNA from 7 species
UUUAUAUUAAAGGUAUGAUGUACCCUGCUUUACCUAAUUUGUUGUCCAUCAUGUAAAACAUAAAUGAUGAUAGACACCAUAUAAGGUAGAGGAAGGUUCACUAUGUUCAUCACCUGGAAC